CGGACUCCUCCGCCUGGGAGCCUCUAUCCGCCUGGGAGCCUCUAUGCGCCCCGCAAAGCCCCCGGCAGAGCCGAGGGGAGGCUUCAUUGGCGACCUGGUGGGGCCUCGCGGCCCUGCUCCCUGACGUCAGCGCCGCCGCGGUGAUUUAACAGCUUUUGUUUUGGGCAGAAGAACCUAUGGGCACAAAAAGCAGGAACGAGUAGCGGUGGCUGAAGAACGAGCAGGAGCUUGAAUUUCAGUUUUCUUAUGAGGAAUUUUCCAGAAAAGAUAUCUUCACUGUGAAAUAACUAAAUAAAUGCCCACUCAGUACAGUCACUGUCUCCCUUUUGGAACUUGAUGGCACCUUAAGCCCAGGUUUGCCUCCACUCUAGAAACUCAUCAGAGUGAUGCCCUUCUCAAAUGGGGGAGGUCCCAAAGCGGAUAUCCUGGCAGUGUGAAAGGCCGGCUAAAGGUUUGUGCCAAGAGGAUCUGUGGAAUGCAUCUCCUACAGCUGGUGCUGCUGAGUAACCACUCUGAUCUGGCAUCUUCUUUGAUCAAGUUACAGAGCAGAGUUUCCAGGGCUGGGGAUUGAAGUCCUGCCUCCUCCCUUUGUCUCUGGUUGUCCUCGGUAAUGUUUUUCCCUCAAGGUACUCAUGAUACUUCCCAUGGGGUGAGUCAGGGACAGGUCUCUUUCCAGGGAAUCCAGGAUGGUAGGGAGGUUGGUUGUCUACCUUGAUCUCACUUUUUCCAUUGUAGAAACUGUGAGUUGGGGAAAGUUUUCCACACACUUGGUGCUGGACAGAUUGUGGCAAGGGGCACCACAGAUAUAAAAAUCUGAUUCUUUUACCAUGCUCAGAGUUUUUUCACUUCUGUGUCCCCAGGAAUUGACUCAUCCUCAUAUCUGAGUUCUGGGAUAUUGUUGGUGAUAAUCUCAGUGCUGUAUAUUUGUUUUUGGUUUUCUGGUGUGGAAGUGAAGCCAGCUUGCGUCUACACUGCCAUUUUUGAACUAGAAGUCCA
rnacentral:lncRNA from 1 species